CCUGACGUACAAAGUGGAGCACCCAAACUGCCUGAUCCUGCGUGCUACCUCUGAGAAUGAUCGUUUGCAUGCUAUGGAGCUUUUUCUCUCUGGAAGCUGCAGGAUAUGACCCCUGGAAGUAACAUCAUCCACUUGGUUGCAGUCCGAUUUUUCUAGCUCUUUGGUGGGUUUUCUACCUUUGAUUGCAUCAACAGGAAGAAAGCUGUCAACUCCUUUAGUUUAUAGCAUGACUGUGGAAGUUCAGGAAGGUUCCUAGAUAGCACGUUGUCCUCUUUUUUACUGUAAUAUUUGGACAAACCUUUUAGUAGAUCCUGGAGAGGAUGAGAAGAGAUGCUUUACAAACAGCCAGGACUCAGAAUGGUGUGUGUUACAGGGUCUCACACACACUGGCUGUACCGUGCCCUCAUGUGCUGUGUUGCUGAGUGGGCAGACAAGGAUUUUGGAAAGGAAGUGACAUCUGGGGUCAGCACUUAAUGAAAAUGAAAUAUGCUGUGGCAGCUUGAAGAUACCACAUAUGUAAAAUGCUAUGCCUUUAUUGUCCUGUGGGCAUAUGCCAUGUGUCUCCACAGUUUGGUGAGGUACCGAGGUAAUUGCCUUAAAACUCCUUGCUACACAGGGUAUUGCAGGAUGGUAGCACACACACCAAGUGAUGGGAAGCAGAGGGGUGCACUGACUGGUGUUAAAGCUUCAGUGCCGCUGACUUAUCUAUAAAUAACUGCUGUCUGUUGUAAUUGGUCACAUCACAGUCCAUGGUGAUCUUUUAUAUUAUUGCUGGCUGCUGGAAAACUCCCGGAGGCAUAAAAUAGAUACCAGGAAGAUCCUGCAUCCAGCAGUGUGUUUCCCCAUGCGGCGCAAUAUGGUAAAACAGAAACAGUGUUUACAAGAAGAUGAUGAAGAAUUGUCUGUAGCAGAAAGGAUGAAAAAAGAGAUUGCAUUUCUGAAAUGAUAGCAGCAGGCCAUCUCUUAUGCAGGAUAUUGCUGGGUCUUGUGCAAAGAAAAUCUUCAUAGGGUUUCUAGUGGUACACUGAAUGGGUAUUAUUUGCCUCUGACUUACAUAUGGCUAUUUUUCAGCUCUUCACAGAAUGAUGAUACCUUGCAAGAAAUAGAUAGCUAGAGAAAGAGAAGUCAUUUGUUGGCUAAUGUGAGAUGUGUGGGGGUGAAAUACAUAGUAUUCUCUAUUCUGAAGGAUCCAGAACACUUCACAGACCAAGAAUGACAGAUACUACAUGCCAUUAAAUGCAGUCAGCAUUGGGGUGAACCACAAAACUGAGGUGAAGCUGCACAGCACUAGGAGUCAAGAGUUUUAUUUAGGGAGGGCAGAAAAACACUGGAUUAGACAUGCAGGAAGGGAUCUGGGUGUAAAGGAUGGAAUUGCCAAGCUUUGCUCAGUAGAGAGCAUUUGAAAUCCUAACUCUUUUGAGAGUUGAGAGCUGUACUAACUGUAGAGUUCUGGUGGUUCUAAGGUUACUAUAUGAGUGGGUUUUUUUUAAUUAGUAUUUUUAAAAUCCACACUUAAUUUCUACCUCCAUUUUAAGCUGCCUUUGUCCCGCUACAAUAUACAGUGCAAUCCACUACAUGCAUUAGAGAAUGCAUGCUUCACUGGCCUAAUAAAAACUUUGCUCAUGUUGGCAAAGAAUUUAUUAGAACUGAAAUCUUUCCAGCACUACACAAAUGCUGGCAUAGAGAUCAGGACUGUGGAGGGCCCUGUCAACAGCCUCUCAAUUGACUUUUACUGACUGAUGUCUGAAGAUUAGGUGGUAUUGUAGGGCAUUUAAUUUAACAAAGGAUUGCUGUGAGUUCUUAGCUUCUACGCUGGGUAUCAGCUAUCAGUAGGAAUUCUUUGGUUCCAGCAAUUUGGUUGUGAUUGGAAGGAGCAUUGAAAGUCCACAUAGCUUUUGGUUAGAAACAUAUGCCAGGACAGUGUCAAUGUGACAGAAGUGGGGUAAAAAGUCCACAAGGAAGAGAGCAGCAGGAUGCCUUCUGUGGCCUCAGACAGUCACACCAAGUGAUUCCUGGAGCCUUGUUUGAAAGCAGGUUAUAUUGCUAGCUGUAUAAAGACAGAAACUGUACAAAAGCCACUGCUCACCUACGAAAAAGUUUAGGCUAUUCUGGCAUGCAUUUGCUCAUUCAGGAGAAAAUUACCCUGCUGUGGCUGGAAAGGGUGCUUAGCUGUAGUAAGGACAUUACCUGCUCAAUAUACUGAUUUCUGUAAAGCAAUGAAGUAUCUGGCCCUGAUCCAGCAGAGCACUCUAAUAACAUGAGGCUAGUCUAAGAUGAAUGCUUGUUGAUCUUCAGCCUCAGCGUCCGCCCUUCUAUAUGACGGUGUCAGUGGAUGAAGAUGUAUGCCCAGGGCCAAAUACAGACCACCUGCUUUUGUGCUGAACUCUCCUUGGCUUCUUCCAGCCAGGAUCCAAUAACUCUGUAUAUAGUGGGUGCUCUGAAUUGUUCACUGUGCUCAUGAAGUUAAAUGCCUGUAUUUAUCUUAGGUUCCAUCAUAAGCAGCCUGCAUAUGGUCUAAUGUAUAUGGUUUGGUCUUAAAAUACUGCAACAACAAUGUAGUAAUGAUUAAUUUAUAGCAAUUACCUCUCAGCCAGUAAAAAAAAAAAAAAAAGAAAAGAAACAAAUUGUGAGUAUAAUUAGCAAUUGAUAGAACACACUGGAGAAAUUAGAUGAAGAACUUCAGAAACAUCUGAAAAUCCAGAUGAAGACUUACAGAGGUUUGCCUUCAUUUGAAGACUGCGUAAGUAAGAAUUCAGCACUGAGAUUCCUCAAAUUCAGAAGGGAACAAAACUGAGAAAAGUCAGUAUCUGGUCGGAAAUGGUAAAGUUAGCAACCUGCUAGAAGGAGGAAAGCUCUGGAACUGUAAAAUUCUAGCCAAAAACAAUGCUGCAGUUGAGGAAAUGAGCUCAUCUGAAGUAGAUCCUGAGAUCCAGGAGUAAACCUGAGUAAUCAGGUUGUACUGGCAUAAGACAACAACAAAACAAAAACUAUGUUUGGAGAAGACUACAGUAUUCUGCAAACUGUGGUGGCAAAGCUUUCCUCAGCACCCAUCUUUGAGGACUGUGUGCCAGAACAGAGCCCCUCCAAUCUCCUGAAGUCAAACUUGGCUUUCCAGGCUAAUCCCCGCUGCUCUGGCACCUUGCAUAAAGAUAAAGGAGGACUUCUUAAAGCCCGGAAAAAUCAAGUUCUCCUUGGGGCAUGCUCUGAGCAUGGCAGUGUCACCGUGUGCAGGACGACCAGUCCCUAGAUGUGCAUGACAAUACCGCUGUUACACACCACAGGGAAGAGAGCGACUCUGCGGCGAAACGUGGUGAUGCUUCAUGUGCGGGAGGACGGAGGCUGAGCCUGUCAGCAUCUCCUGGAGGCCUUUCAGUUGUGCAGUGGCAUCCAGCCAGUCCUCCCUCAUGAUGAAGAAUCAAUCUGCAAGGUAUUGAUUAACCCUUAGGCUCUGCCUUGGAGAGGAGACCACCCAUGAAAACAGCUGACAUGCAAAAACCCACAAGGUCAGCCUUGAAGACUCAAAGAGAAAUCUGCCUGCUCUGAAUAUUGCCUGAGGAUUUAGAAAGGUCUUUCUUGGAAACAGAAGACAGAGAUGAAACGACCAUCAGUAAAGCAUAGAACUCUGGGAUGACAGGUCGCUUGCCUUUCUACCAGGAGAGUGGUGUGCUGUACACAGCAUGCUGCACACGGGUGGAGGAGGAUAAAGAAUGACAUGCUAGCCUAAUACACUUAAAAAUCCUGCUAUCUCUGUGAUGGGCCUUAUUAGCGCUCUGAGGUGCUGGCAAGAGCUGGAUGGCAGUAGCAUGUGCUGCUCUGCUGUGCUAGAGAUCUUGGCUUGUGGAGAAGGAGUCAUCGGAGCUGACCUUGGGAUAAAUCUGCUG